rnacentral:ncRNA from 2 species
UGAACGGGCCGUGACUGGCGCGCUGGGAUGGGACGGACCAUCGGGGAGCGGCCCGUGAGCAGUGACAGUGCCGUGCGCCUGGGCCGAACCG